rfam:Gossypium hirsutum cultivar TM-1 chromosome 9, whole genome shotgun sequence
AUCUCAUGAUGAGGAAACCUACGAAGUAAUUCUUUGAAUCUUUCCCACGCCUCGUACAAGGAUUCAUCAUCCAAUUGUGAAAAAGUGGUUAUCUCAUUUCCUAACUU